UGCAGUCGAACGGUGAAGCAGAGCUUGCUCUGUGGAUCAGUGGCGAACGGGUGAGUAACACGUGAGCAAUCUGCCCCUGACUCUGGGAUAAGCGCUGGAAACGGCGUCUAAUACCGGAUACGAGCUGCGACCGCAUGGUCAGUAGCUGGAAAGAAUUUCGGUCAGGGAUGAGCUCGCGGCCUAUCAGCUUGUUGGUGAGGUAAUGGCUCACCAAGGCGUCGACGGGUAGCCGGCCUGAGAGGGUGACCGGCCACACUGGGACUGAGACACGGCCCAGACUCCUACGGGAGGCAGCAGUGGGGAAUAUUGCACAAUGGGCGCAAGCCUGAUGCAGCAACGCCGCGUGAGGGAUGACGGCCUUCGGGUUGUAAACCUCUUUUAGCAGGGAAGAAGCGAAAGUGACGGUACCUGCAGAAAAAGCGCCGGCUAACUACGUGCCAGCAGCCGCGGUAAUACGUAGGGCGCAAGCGUUAUCCGGAAUUAUUGGGCGUAAAGAGCUCGUAGGCGGUCUGUCGCGUCUGCUGUGAAAACCCGAGGCUCAACCUCGGGCCUGCAGUGGGUACGGGCAGACUAGAGUGCGGUAGGGGAGAUUGGAAUUCCUGGUGUAGCGGUGGAAUGCGCAGAUAUCAGGAGGAACACCGAUGGCGAAGGCAGAUCUCUGGGCCGUAACUGACGCUGAGGAGCGAAAGGGUGGGGAGCAAACAGGCUUAGAUACCCUGGUAGUCCACCCCGUAAACGUUGGGAACUAGUUGUGGGGUCCAUUCCACGGAUUCCGUGACGCAGCUAACGCAUUAAGUUCCCCGCCUGGGGAGUACGGCCGCAAGGCUAAAACUCAAAGGAAUUGACGGGGACCCGCACAAGCGGCGGAGCAUGCGGAUUAAUUCGAUGCAACGCGAAGAACCUUACCAAGGCUUGACAUAUAGAAGGAAACGUCUGGGAAACAGUCGCCCCGCAAGGUCUCUAUACAGGUGGGUGCAUGGUUGUCGUCAGCUCGUGUCGUGAGAUGUUGGGGUUAAGUCC
rnacentral:rRNA from 1 species